GGACUUACUUGACAGGAGCGAUAACCAUGGUCAAAAAGGUGAUUUUUCCAGAAUAAUGCUUGUCCAUUGCACUUCAGGUGUGAGGGCCUCUUCUAUUUUGUCACAUGAAGGAAAUUGAAUAAUUUGUGGUAGUGGGGGAUUUCAUUACUGCUUUCCUUUA
ensembl:snRNA U1 U1 spliceosomal RNA